rnacentral:rRNA from 1 species
GGGUAGGGGAGCGUUCUGUAAGCGGAUGAAGGUGAAUCGAGAGGUUUGCUGGACGUAUCAGAAGUGCGAAUGCUGACAUAAGUAACGAUAAAACGAGUGAAAAACUCGUUCGCCGGAAGAUCAAGGUUUCCUGUCCAACGUUAAUCGGGGCAGGGUGAGUCGACCCCUAAGGCAAGGCUGAAAAGCGUAGUCGAUGGGAAACGGGUUAAUAUUCCCGUACUUGUAAUAACUGCGAUGUGGGGACGGAGAAGGUUAGGUUAUCAGGGUAUUGGAUAUCCCUGUUUAAGCCGGUAGGUGGGAAUUCUAGGCAAAUCCGGAAUUCUGUAUAACACCGAGAAGUGAUGACGAGGCUCUAAGGAGCUGAAGUAACUGAUACCACGCUUCCAGGAAAAGCCACUAAGCAUAGGUUAUUAUAAAUCGUACUGUAAACCGACACAGGUGAUCAGGUAGAGAAUACUCAGGCGCUUGAGAGAACUCGGGUGAAGGAACUAGGCAAAAUAGCACCGUAACUUCGGGAGAAGGUGCGCCGGCGUAGAUUGUAGCCCUUUACGGGUGAAGGUUGAACCGGUCGAAGAUACCAGCUGGCUGCAACUGUUUAUUAAAAACACAGCACUCUGCAAACACGAAAGUGGACGUAUAGGGUGUGAUGCCUGCCCGGUGCUGGAAGGUUAAUUGAUGAUGUAAUCGAAAGAGAAGCUUCUGAUAGAAGCCCCAGUAAACGGCGGCCGUAACUAUAACGGUCCUAAGGUAGCGAAAUUCCUUGUCGGGUAAGUUCCGACCUGCACGAAUGGCAUAAUGAUGGCCAGGCUGUCUCCACCCGAGACUCAGUGAAAUUGAAAUCGCCGUGAAGAUGCGGUGUACCCGCGGCUAGACGGAAAGACCCCGUGAACCUUUACUAUAGCUUGACACUGAACCUUGAAUUUUAAUGUGUAGGAUAGGUGGGAGACUUAGAAG